GACGAACGCUGGCGGCGUGCUUAACACAUGCAAGUCGAACGAUGAAGCGGUGCUUGCACCGUGGAUUAGUGGCGAACGGGUGAGUAAUACGUGAGUGACCUACCUUUGACUCUGGGAUAAGCCUGGGAAACUGGGUCUAAUACCGGAUACGACCAAUCUCUGCAUGGGGUGUUGGUGGGAAGCGUUAUGGAGUGGUUUUAGAUGGGCUCACGGCCUAUCAGCUUGUUGGUGAGGUAAUGGCUUACCAAGGCGACGACGGGUAGCCGGCCUGAGAGGGUGACCGGCCACACUGGGACUGAGACACGGCCCAGACUCCUACGGGAGGCAGCAGUGGGGAAUAUUGCACAAUGGGCGCAAGCCUGAUGCAGCGACGCCGCGUGAGGGAUGACGGCCUUCGGGUUGUAAACCUCUGUUAGCAUCGAAGAAGCGAAAGUGACGGUAGGUGCAGAGAAAGCGCCGGCUAACUACGUGCCAGCAGCCGCGGUAAUACGUAGGGCGCGAGCGUUGUCCGGAAUUAUUGGGCGUAAAGAGCUUGUAGGCGGUUGGUCGCGUCUGCUGUGAAAGGCCGGGGCUUAACUCCGGUUUUGCAGUGGGUACGGGCUAACUAGAGUGCAGUAGGGGAGACUGGAAUUCCUGGUGUAGCGGUGGAAUGCACAGAUAUCAGGAGGAACACCGAUGGCGAAGGCAGGUCUCUGGGCUGUAACUGACGCUGAGAAGCGAAAGCAUAGGGAGCGAACAGG
rnacentral:rRNA from 1 species